AUUCGAUUUGAUUCGAUUCAAUUCGAAUCUUCGAUUGAGUCGAAUCUGAUUCGAUUCGAUUCGUUCAAUCGAAAUCC